rnacentral:tRNA from 1 species
ACAGAAAUAGCUCAGAUGGGAGAGCGUUAGACUAUACAUCGAAAAGUCCCUGGUUCGAUUCCGGGUUCCGGCA